AGAAGGGAAAAAAGGAAAAGGGAAAUUUUUGGUGCUAUGGAUUGUCCCGGGGUCCCCGAGGUGUCUCCGUGCCAAAGGGGCUGGCUCUCGCAGCAUCUCCCAGAGGGUUUGUUGGUACUCGGGAAGGACUCGCCCUGGAUUGGCGGCUGCUGUAGCCAUGGUGACGGAGGAGCGAGCUGAGACAGCGCAGAAAUGUCACCGCCUGCCAGGGAGACACUUGGGGCAAAUGCAGGGGCGAUUAGAUCUGUGUCACUGCCUGCUGCCCGGCUCCUCACACAGCUCCCGUGCUGCUCUCCCGGCCGUUUGGUGGUGCCUUGGCAGAGGAGGUUAUCUCGUACAAGCUGCUGUCCAGAAACUGCCACCGUUUGAAGGUGGGGGGAUGUUUGUGCUGCUCAGUUUGACCUGGCUGAGCUGAAAACUGGAAGAAUUUUCUCCUGGUUGCUGCUGCAUUAGGGCUUCAUGGUGCAUUGGUGCUGCGAGACCUUCCCUCAAAAUCUUUGGCCCUUCAAACUGCUAACCUGGUUUAAACAUGAUUCUUAACAGGAAGAGAUUUUAAAGUGUUUGGCUCUGCUUACCUCAAUUACUGUCAUAGCUGCCUGGAAUAGCAAUCCAUUUUUUGCAUCAAAAAUGUCAGCAGUUUCUCCUCUCUUUCCCAAGCAGGUUACCAAGAGCAGUUUCCCUGGAGAAAGUCUCUGCUGGAAGUGGUUGGGGUUGGCCAUUCAUAAUCUAGCAAUCAGAAGGACACUUGGAAACCAAAUAGGCAGCUUUGGUUAUGGCAGUGAAUGGGUGAUGGCCUCAAAACACAGGCCACUGUACAGUCCAUGGGGUGGGCAGCAGCUGGGGGUCCUAAUCCCUCCAUUCCCAAACCAGGAAAUGCUGUAGUGACACCUCUGAGUGCCAUUAGGUUUGCUUUGGAGCCCACCACCAAGGAGACUGGGAUGGCUCUUUGUGACCAAGGGCACCCAAAACUCAUUUCUUGGACCACCUGCUGGAGAGCAGAUAAGCACAGCUUCAAGGUGGUUUGCCUCUUCCCAGAUGGCGGCUGAAAUGUCUGACAAUCAGGAUUUUUCAGUAACGAAAAGGUGUUUUUAAACCACUGUCCUCUGAAGGGCUGGCUGUGCUGGAGCUGGGGAGCAGGACAGCAGGAGUCUGACCUUCCAGACCUGAGUCCACCAGCGGUGCCAGGGUGGUGGCACUGGCAUCUGCACAACCUGCACCCAGCCUCCUUCUGCGGCAUCCCUGUCCCUUUUGGUACCCACACAACCAAAACAAAGGUCUGGAUCCAGCCAGAGGAGAAUUCUGUUUCUCCAGGCGGAGGAGAGGAUGAGCAUUGCAAAGGAACUGUGUACAAGAGGCAAAGCUGCCUGAGCCACUAAAUCCCUGCAGCACAAGACAGCACCAUGGAGAGUCCCGUGCUGGGCUGGUGGCAGCUGAGACACCUUUGGAUGGAGCAGCUCCGUGCUACAUUUGGGAGCUACAGCUGGCAUGGGCAAUGCCAGGAGGUCUGGUGGACAGGCAAGGAGGACCAAGGCUGCCAACUCCUGCUCCCCCAUUUCAGCAGUGCAAGGUGGGCUUACAGUGUGAAAGCAAAGCAUCUGCACUAUAGCAUGGUGAAAAUGGCUGCAUUAAAACACCCUGCUUUUGUGGCCAUGUCUUCUUCAGCAACUAUAGGGUAGAAGGUUUAAUGUAGCAAAGAGACAUUAAUUAUGAUUAAUAUCACUCAUUAUGAUUGCUCAUAUUUAAAUAACUUCAUGGAAGUCCCAUGACUCUUUGUUUAACAACAUGAUUGAAAAGAGCAUGAUCCUUUUUUCUGCCUAAUGAUGCACACCACAUAUCCAGUACCCUUUUCUCCUGCCCUGCAGAAGCCUUGGCACCCUCUGUGCAGAAAGUCCUCUCCUGUAGGAAGAGACAGGAGCAGGGCACAUGCACACCCCAUCCAGCCCUUCUCCAUCCUGACUGAUAUCUUGCACAGUUGGGACAAACCACCCCGACUGAGCCCAGCUACU